GCCUGGGUGGCUCAGUCGGUUAAGCGUCCGACUUCAGCUCAGGUCACGAUCUCACGGUCUGUGGGUUCGAGCCCCACGUCGGGUU
rnacentral:tRNA from 1 species